UACGGAGGGUGCAAGCGUUAUCCGGAUUUACUGGGUUUAAAGGGUGCGUAGGUGGGUUGGUAAGUCAGUGGUGAAAUACUUUCGCUUAACGAAGGAACUGCCAUUGAUACUAUCAAUCUUGAAUGUAGUGGAGGUAGGCGGAAUGCGUCAUGUAGCGGUGAAAUGCUUAGAUAUGACGCAGAACACCAAUUGCGAAGGCAGCUUGCUACACUACUAUUGACACUGAGGCACGAAAGCGUGGGAUCAAACAGG
rnacentral:rRNA from 1 species